ACAGCCACAUCAUGUUGAAACACCAGUUCUCAUAUGAUCACUGAAGUUAAGCAACAUUGAGCCUGGCCAGUUGAUGGGUGACUAUUUGGGAAUACCAGGUGCUGUAAG